rnacentral:rRNA from 1 species
UACGUAGGGUGCAGGCGUUAAUCGGAAUUACUGGGCGUAAAGCGUGCGCAGGCGGUUUUGUAAGCCAGAUGUGAAAUCCCCGGGCUUAACCUGGGAAUGGCAUUUGGGACUGCAAGGCUGGAGUUUGGCAGAGGAGACUGGAAUUCCCGGUGUAGCAGUGAAAUGCGUAGAUAUCGGGAGGAAUACCGAUGGCGAAGGCAGGUCUCUGGGCUAUAACUGACGCUCAUGCACGAAAGCGUGGGGAGCAAACAGG